GACGAACGCUGGCGGCGUGCUUAACACAUGCAAGUCGAACGGAAAGGCCCUGCUUUUGUGGGGUGCUCGAGUGGCGAACGGGUGAGUAACACGUGAGUAACCUGCCCUUGACUUUGGGAUAACUUCAGGAAACUGGGGCUAAUACCGGAUAGGAGCUCCUGCUGCAUGGUGGGGGUUGGAAAGUUUCGGCGGGUGGGGAUGGACUCGCGGCUUAUCAGCUUGUUGGUGGGGUAGUGGCUUACCAAGGCUUUGACGGGUAGCCGGCCUGAGAGGGUGACCGGCCACAUUGGGACUGAGAUACGGCCCAGACUCCUACGGGAGGCAGCAGUGGGGAAUAUUGCACAAUGGGAGGAAGCGUGAUGCAGAAACGCCGCGUGCGGGAUGACGGCCUUCGGGUUGUAAACCGCUUUCGCCUGUGACGAAGCGUGAGUGACGGUAAUGGGUAAAGAAGCACCGGCUAACUACGUG
rnacentral:rRNA from 1 species